CAAUAGCGUAUAUUAACGUUGUUGCAGUUAAAAAGCUCGUAGUUGGAUUUCUGGAGGGAGCGUCGGCCCGUAUUUACGAGUGCGUGACGUCUCUGUCCAUCCUUGCGGGAAGGCACGGCAUUGAUUUGUUGUGUCGGAUCGCAUCAUUUACUGUGAAAAAAUUAGAGUGUUCAAAGCAGGCUUUCGCUUGAAUACAUUAGCAUGGAAUAAUAAGAUAGGACUUUGGUGCUGUUUUGUUGGUUGAGCCUAAAGUAAUGAUUAAUAGGGAUAGUUGGGGGCACCUGUAUUGCGUUGUCAGAGGUGAAAUUCUUGGAUUUACGCAAGACAAACAGCUGCGAAAGCGUCUACCAAGGAUGUUUUCAUUA
rnacentral:rRNA from 1 species